ACCGGAUAGGACGAAAGUUUAAAGGUGCUUCGGCACCACUGAUGGAUGAGCCUGCGGCGCAUUAGCUAGUUGGUAGGGUAAAGGCCUACCAAGGCGACGAUGCGUAGCCGACCUGAGAGGGUGAACGGCCACACUGGGACUGAGACACGGCCCAGACUCCUACGGGAGGCAGCAGUAGGGAAUCUUCGGCAAUGGGCGAAAGCCUGACCGAGCAACGCCGCGUGAAUGAUGAAGGCCUUCGGGUUGUAAAAUUCUGUUAUAAGGGAAGAAUGGCUCUAGUAGGAAAUGGCUAGAGUGUGACGGUACCUUAUGAGAAAGCCACGGCUAACUACGUGCCAGCAGCCGCGGUAAUACGUAGGUGGCGAGCGUUAUCCGGAAUUAUUGGGCGUAAAGAGCGCGCAGGUGGUUGAUUAAGUCUGAUGUGAAAGCCCACGGCUUAACCGUGGAGGGUCAUUGGAAACUGGUCAACUUGAGUGCAGAAGAGGGAAGUGGAAUUCCAUGUGUAGCGGUGAAAUGCGUAGAGAUAUGGAGGAACACCAGUGGCGAAGGCGGCU
rnacentral:rRNA from 1 species